UCAGACGAUGCGUCAUGCAUAUCAAUAAGCGGAGGAAAAGAAACUAACAAGGAUUCCCCUAGUAACGGCGAGUGAAGCGGGAAGAGCUCAAAUUUGAAAUCUUAAAGGGUUUCCCUUUACGAAUUGUAGUUUAAAGAAGUGUUUUCUGUUGAGGUUUUGGUAAAAGUUCUUUGGAAUAGGACAUCAUAGAGGGUGAGAAUCCCGUAUUUGACCUUUACUUUCAACUUUGUGAUACACUUUCAAAGAGUCGGAUUGUUUGGGAAUGCAGUCCAAAAUGGGUGGUAAAUUUCAUCUAAAGCUAAAUAUUGGCGAGAGACCGAUAGCGAACAAGUACCGUGAGGGAAAGAUGAAAAGAACUUUGAAAAGAGAGUUAAACAGUACGUGAAAUUGUCAAAAGGGAAGCGUUUGACACCAGUGUUGUUUUUCUGAAAAUCAAUUAAAGAACUGUUUAUGCUAAGUUGUUUAGACUUUAUCAGCUAUCUGUUUAGUUUUGAGCUUUUCUUUAAUGCACUUUUCAGUUAACAAGUCAACAUCAAUUUCUUUUGCUGUAAAAAGCUUGAGGAAGGUGGCUUGAGAUUCGUCUUAAGUGUUUAUAGCCUCUUGCCUAUGCAGUCGGAGAGAUUGAGGUCUGCAGCGUAGAUCCUUCGGGGCUAAGUGCAUUUGUGCUAAGUUAUAGCAUUUUAUAGACAACUUGUUGACUAUGAUUUGUCUAGUAGCUUACUCGCUUAUGUUAUUUUACCUACGCUUAGGAUGUUGAGCGCAUGUCUCUCUCU
rnacentral:rRNA from 1 species